GACAGAGGGUACAAACGUUUGUUCGGAUUUACUGGGCGUAAAGGGCGCGUAGGCGGUCAGCACAAGUCAGUUGUGAAAUCUCCGGGCUUAACUCGGAAAGGUCAACUGAUACUGUGCGACUAGAGUGUGGAAGGGGCAACUGGAAUUCUCGGUGUAGCGGUGAAAUGCGUAGAUAUCGAGAGGAACACCUGCGGCGAAGGCGGGUUGCUGGGCCGACACUGACGCUGAUGCGCGAAAGCCAGGGGAGCGAACGGG
rnacentral:rRNA from 1 species